GGCGCGAUGGUAGAGCGGCGAUACAGCGGACUGCAACUCCGUAUAGACCGGUUCGACUCCGGUUCGCGCCUCCA
rnacentral:tRNA from 1 species